AGAGCGAACGCUGGCGGCAGACCUAAUACAUGCAAGUCGAACGCACCUUCGGGUGAGUGGCGGACGGGUGAGUAACACGUGGGAACGUGCCUUUUGGUUCGGAAUAAUCCGGGGAAACCUGGCCUAAUACCGGAUGUGCCCUUCGGGGGAAAGAUUUAUCGCCAUUAGAGCGGCCCGCGUCUGAUUAGCUAGUUGGUGAGGUAACGGCCCACCAAGGCGACGAUCAGUAGCUGGUCUGAGAGGAUGAUCAGCCACACUGGGACUGAGACACGGCCCAGACUCCUACGGGAGGCAGCAGUAGGGAAUCUUGCGCAAUGGGCGAAAGCCUGACGCAGCCAUGCCGCGUGAAUGAUGAAGGUCUUAGGAUUGUAAAAUUCUUUCAGCGGGGAAGAUAAUGACUGUACCCGCAGAAGAAGCUCCGGCUAACUUCGUGCCAGCAGCCGC
rnacentral:rRNA from 1 species